UACAGAGGUCUCAAGCGUUGUUCGGAUUCAUUGGGCGUAAAGGGUGCGUAGGUGGCGCGCUAAGUCAGGUGUGAAAUUUCGGAGCUUAACUCCGAAACUGCAUUUGAUACUGGCGUGCUUGAGGACUGGAGAGGAGACUGGAAUUUACGGUGUAGCAGUGAAAUGCGUAGAUAUCGUAAGGAAGACCAGUGGCGAAGGCGGGUCUCGUGGACAGUUCCUGACGCUGAGGCACGAAGGCCAGGGGAGCAAACGGG
rnacentral:rRNA from 1 species